rnacentral:rRNA from 1 species
GGGGAAUUGUUCGCAAUGGGCGCAAGCCUGACGACGCAACGCCGCGUGGGGGAUGAAGGUCUUCGGAUUGUAAACCCCUGUUGGGUGGGACGAACAUUCCCGUGGUGAACCUCCACGGGAGCUGACGGUACCACCUGAGGAAGCCCCGGCCAACUCUGUGCCAGCAGCCGCGGUAAUACAGAGGGGGCAAGCGUUGUUCGGAAUUACUGGGCGUAAAGGGCGCGUAGGCGGCCUGUUAAGUCGGACGUGAAAGGCCUGGGCUCAACCUGGGAAUUGCGUUUGGGACUGUUGGGCUGGAGAGCGGGAGAGGAUGGUGGAAUUCCCAGUGUAGAGGUGAAAUUCGUAGAUAUUGGGAAGAACACCGGUGGCGAAGGCGGCCAUCUGGACCGUAUCUGACGCUGAGGCGCGAAAGCGUGGGAAGCAAA